rnacentral:lncRNA from 1 species
CUGGUUUGUGAUUGCAAGUUUGUUAGGGACCAAAUUCUUGGAAAAAGCAAUCUGUGGUAUGGAGGGAUGGGUACUCGAAACCGGCUGGUUUUGCACUACCCUUGUGGUGGAUUUUGGUGGUUGUGAAGUGGUUUCACUCAAAUCAAUGGAGAUUAAUGGUGGAGAAGGAGUUGAUAUUCUUGAAACCACGGUGGUAUUAUCAGUCCUCUAUUUUGAACUCGUUCCAACUUCCAACUGUAUUGUGAGUGAUUGGCCAACCAUUUUAUUAGGUAGAGAGAAG